rnacentral:lncRNA from 1 species
UUUUGGCCUUCCUUGAUAUCCUAGACUCUCCUCUAUAAAAUAAUGGUACUUUUUUUUUUUUGGGUUGUAUUGGAUGUUUGAUAAUGAUACUGUGGACUCCUAGUUUAUCCCACCAUCCAGCAGCCCGUCCAUCACUCAUGAAAGAAGAUUUUUGCUUAACAAUUCCUUGAGCCCCUGUUUUUGCCCUGUUUUUAGCUACUUCAUUCCUAUGCCCAUUUUCCAUCAACCUCCUCAUAUCCGUUUCCACACAUACCUAUCACUAUCUCUCUCUCUCUCUCUCUCUACACCAUGUUCUCCAUACCCAUAUUUCUAAGCUUUCUCAUUCCCACUAAGCACUUCUCUCACCACCUUUCUCUCUCUAAACCUUCACAUACCCAUCACCACAUACUCCUCAAGCAUUGUUUUCUCAAUGAUCUACACCACCCGCUCCAUAAAUCCCAUACCCAUUAACAUACCCACUAUCCAUGCAUAUACCCAUUUUCUUACCACUCAUCUCUUUAUCUACACCAUGUGCCUCCCAAGCCCAUCAUCCAUACUUCUUUUUUCAUCCCAUAUCCUUUCCCAUACAUAUCCUCAUUUAACUAUACCCCCCUAAACCCAUUCCUCUCUCUAAGCCUUCAUAUUUUUCUCACCACCUUUUCUCUCUCUACACCACAUGCUCUUCAUGCACACCCAUUCCUCACUCACCUACACUGCCCGUUCUACUUUCCAUACCCCCUCAUGCAUUCCCGUCGUUCAUAUAUCUGCUACACCCACUCCAUCCCGUUCUUGCAUGGCCAUGCAUAGCUACGUCAUACCCAUUUCACCACAAAACCCAUUUUCUUCCACCCAUGCAUGGCCACUUCAACCGUUGCAUUUAUUCCUCAUUACUACCCGUAGCUAUUCUCCACAUCCAUCCUCCAUGCCCUCAUGUUUAUCAUCACCCCCCCCCCCCCCCCAUGCAUAACCAUCUCCCAUUUACCCAUUUUCCCCAUCACCACCUAUCUCUCUCUACACCACA